CUGGGCUGAGGAGGGGCUUAAAAACACCAAAUGGAGUGGGGGGGGUUGUGCUGUAGGGUGCAGAGAGUGGGGUGAAAUUUGUGCCCAACAGAAAGAAAGGCAGUAGGUUAGUGCACAUGGAGCUGGUUAAUUGCUGCUGCAGUGGAGAGUAGGUGUGGGUGGCUGACAGGACAGGUAGAGACAUACUGAGGUAAGACAAGGAGCCCUAGGCUGAUAGAGAAUAAGGAAAGCAGAAAUGAGAACACUGUGUAGUGAAGGACUGGAGAUAGAACAUAACUUGGGGUCAGUCCCCAAACACAGCCGCUCCUGUCUGAGCUCUCCUCGUGUGGAGAGAACUGAACUUGGAGAGAACUUGGCGGGUGGUGAAUGGGAGGGAGGGUCUGAGUACAGAGCCAAGUCUUGUGGGGCGUUCUUAAGACUGGCUGUGAUAUUGCAGGAGUGGUAGUGGGAGUUCCUGUAAUUUACACUGAGUGGUGUGGUGUCUUGUGGUUAGAAACUAGUAAAUGCAAAACACGCCUAUAAGGAAGUAAAAGCUGAAAAAUGGAAGCAGACAUCUAGGCAGUGGCAGCCGUCCCCGAGCUGGGGAGCCCUGCCCUCACCUGUGGCUGUGGGGGGAGGACGCGCUGCAUCGCGUGCAUGCACACCUCCCCAGCUGAGAGGGGAAGCGCUGCACUUAGCUUCUGCCUCAUCAGCUCCAAUUCUGCCACAUUUUGCAGGAGCUUCGGCCAGGAGUUAUGCUGCCUGACCUUGGAGCCGUGCCUGGGCCCUGUGGGGAACGCAGCCUUCCUCUCUCCCAUCAUCCGGAGCGUGACUGAAUAACCUGGAUUGUCCCCAAUGUCCUCAGACUUCUGACAGAACAACGGCCAGAGGAGCAAACAGGAGCAGCCACCAGCAGGAGCUCACUGGUGGCACCUGCAGCCCAUGGACACCACAGCAGUCACCUUCCCAACGCUCCUGCUUACUGCCGCGGAAAUAAAAGCCAGCACACAAGUUCUCGUUGCUGGAUGCUGCGAGAUCCUGCUUGGCUGCUUCUGAUCCCUGUAAAUGCCGACCCCCAGCACUGACAUUACGGUCACCGCAAGCCAAAAGUGGUCCCAGCGCCCCCCAGACCCUGCAGCCCUCAUGCAAUGGACAAGAAUUAAACAGAGGUAUUAAGAAGUAGCUGACGUGAAUUCAAGGGGGAAAAUGCUCAGUUUGGGUCAUAUCUAAUGGAAGCUUAUAAAAAAUGAAAUUCAUUUUGCAAUGAAAAGUAGUUACUUCACGUGGAAAAGCAAAAAUAUUUAGAAAUUCUGCCUGCUUUUAUGCUCUUCAGCUGAAACUAUUCACCACAUCUGACCGAAAUGCCUGAGCAGCUCUGACGUCUCGCAUUUUUCAGCUGGUUUCCAAAGCUGCUUUGCUGAGCUCGACCCGAUUAUGCGCUGCUGCCUGCUGAAACCACCAGGGCAGGGCAUCCCUGGCGCUGGGAGCUGCUCCCAAAGUGCGGAGCGGUGCUGGCUGCGCUAGGGUUCAGGGCAAUUGCCCUGGUAUCCUCAUCGGGAGGAUAAAAGCAGAGAGAAGGGUGGCUGCAUCCUGAGCAUCCCCACACCCCUCUCUCCGUCCUGCAGCCCCUGGCGGGUGCUGGUGAGGAUGCUGAACAUGCCCCAGCCCCGCCAGCCCUUCCUCCCCCUCUAUUUGGAUAACUUUUUCACCCGUUCAGUUUAUGAGGACUCCCCUCCUUCUGCCAACAGUCUGAGUCUCCUCUUGCUGCAGCCUGGGAGGCCUGUCUUUCUCUUUUAUUAUUAUUUUUCUGUCUCCCCCUCUUGAGGCCCCAGCUCGGCAGCCCAGCCCCGGGACAGACGUGCGAGCUGUGUCUGCACGGAGCACGCCUUUGUUUGCGCACCAAAACAGAUGGGGAGAGGGUGCAGGUGGGAUGUGCAGCGUUCCUUCCCAAGCCGCCACAGCGCCCGGCUCACCCCAUGGCUGUCCCUCAGUCUGAUCCCCAGCAGAAUUCACAUUGGCAUUGUGUGCCUGCCCGUGUUUGAGAUCACCAGUGUGCCAGGGCUGGCAUACAGCUGCUCAUCCAGAGCCAGAAGCAAACGGAUGACACCACUUAAUUAAAAGUGAUCCAACAGCUUGUUCAGCUCCCUUAGGAUCAGCAGUCUGCAGGGGCCGUUGCUUGCUGCAGCGUCGUGGAUGGCUCUGUACCACAGGGCAGGUGACACUUCAGUUUGGGGACACCCGGACCCUGCCACUUCACACAGUGCUGCCACAUCCCACGGCUGUGACAUCCAUGUCCCUUGUGCCUCCCCUUCUGCUGAAAUGAGCAUCAGCAUCCCAUUCUGCUGUGACCCCAGGGGCAGAGCCCCUGCAUCUCCCACAGGCACCCAGCCUUCAUUUCACUCACUCACAGCCUUCGUCGCGUGUCACCUCGCACAUUGCCAAAGCAGCACCAGCUGGACACAUCAUCACCAGCUGCACCAACCAGACAGAAAGCUGAGCAUUUUUCUGAGCCUGCUUUUAUGUGACAGCUCCCAGCCUGCUGCUGGCUCCUGUAGGACGACAGCAGCCCCAGAGGUCCUGCAUGCCGAGAACUUAUAAAUAAAUGAGCAACAUGGUAAAAUUGAGCAAACCAAAGGGCUUCACAACUGUUACAUUUCUCCUGUUCCCUGUAGCUCUCCACACCAUGCUCAGCCCAGUUCAACCCAGGGAUGCUAUUGCAUAUCCUGUGCAAUUCCUACGCAUUUCCAUUGCAGUGGGCCAUGGAUCACUGAAGUGUUGAACAGUGAUGUGCCACCAUGGAGCUGUGUGUUGAAAUGGGAGAAUUUUGAGCCCAAAAGCAAAGCAAUCUGGAGAGACCUGAAGUCCAGGGGCAAUGAAACAUGGGCCCCCCACUGCAUGGGCUCCAGCAUGGGGCUGAGCUAGGGCUGUCCCUGAAGCAAGGACAUCCCCAGUCUUCGCUUUGGAGAUGCAAGGAGUGUGGCUAAGCAUCCUUGGGCUGGAACCAGAGGCACCAGCACCUGAAACACAGCCAUGAGCAAAGCAUGGGGAGGUGACCUGGGAGAACUGCCAGGCCCCUUGAGGCUGCUUCUGCAGCACACGCUGGUGGGGCUGUGUGCUUGGGACGGGCAUAGAGCAAGGAAGAAGAGGAGCAGAAUGCCAAAGUAGAGCAAGGAGAGGCAAGGUGGUGUGAUGGAGUGGCAUAGAGAUGUGAUGGAAAGCUGUGGGGAUGUGGUAGAGAGCCACAAGGAAGUGCUAAGAGAGCCACAGGGAUGCGAUAAUAGAAUCCUGGAGAUGCGAUAGAGAGCACUGUAAGUAUGAGACCUCAUCUCUUGGGUCCUCGCCCUGCACACUGGGGUCUGGGAUUCCCAGGCCACACAGGACUGUACCAGCCCUGGCCCCUCACCUCCCAGAGAAGCUGCAGCACAGGCGCUUUUGAACCCAGGGGGUAACAGCAGGGUGAUGACAACCUUGGCAGGGGGUUCUGUCCCCUAGUGUCCACGUGCAUUUGUUGGCAGUUGGCAUCCGGCCCAGCAAGCAAGAGCAGCAGCCUGGGGCUGCCCUGGCACCCGGGGCAGAGCGUGCUGCCUGGUGCCUUGCACCACAGAGCCUCAAGGCUGCCAUUUGCUCAGGCACUAAAAUCCCUGCUUGGAGCCCUGCUCAGCAUCACCCCAUCCCUUCCCCUUGCACCGGCCAGCAGCACUGGUGGGCAACAUCCCUGCUCCCACAGCCAGGGCACACUGCAGAACACGCAGUCUUUGCCUCCAGGCUAGCUUUGUGACCUGGGGCAGCACACCUGCAGACUGCAGGACUUGUGCUGAGAACCCACUCCUUAUCCGGGGCAAGCAGCCCCUCUGCAAGCAAGUCAGCCUCUCUCCGCUCCCUCCAGCACCUUCCUUCUUCAAGCCAAGCAGAGCGAAAGAGAAAAAAUACAUCUCUCUAUCCAUACAUACACGCAAGAAAAAAAGGACCCUUUUUCUGCCUCCGUCUCACACUUUGCACGUGGCGGAGCCGUGGGCGGCGGGGCA